rnacentral:rRNA from 1 species
AUUGAACGCUGGCGGCAGGCUUAACACAUGCAAGUCGAGCGGGGGAGGUUGCUUCGGUAACUGACCUAGCGGCGGACGGGUGAGUAAUGCUUAGGAAUCUGCCUAUUAGUGGGGGACAACAUCCCGAAAGGGAUGCUAAUACCGCAUACGCCCUACGGGGGAAAGCAGGGGAUCUUCGGACCUUGCGCUAAUAGAUGAGCCUAAGUCGGAUUAGCUAGUUGGUGGGGUAAAGGCCUACCAAGGCGACGAUCUGUAGCGGGUCUGAGAGGAUGAUCCGCCACACUGGGACUGAGACACGGCCCAGACUCCUACGGGAGGCAGCAGUGGGGAAUAUUGGACAAUGGGCGGAAGCCUGAUCCAGCCAUGCCGCGUGUGUGAAGAAGGCCUUUUGGUUGUAAAGCACUUUAAGCGAGGAGGAGGCUACUAGUACUAAUACUACUGGAUAGUGGACGUUACUCGCAGAAUAAGCACCGGCUAACUCUGUGCCAGCAGCCGCCGUAAUAC